rnacentral:rRNA from 1 species
GGCCCAGGCGGCCGGCUACCAUGCAAGUCGAGCGGUAACAGGGGUAGCUUGCUACCCGCUGACGAGCGGCGGACGGGUGAGUAAUGCAUAGGAAUCUGCCCGAUAGUGGGGGAUAACCUGGGGAAACCCAGGCUAAUACCGCAUACGUCCUACGGGAGAAAGGGGGCUCCGGCUCCCGCUAUUGGAUGAGCCUAUGUCGGAUUAGCUAGUUGGUAAGGUAAUGGCUUACCAAGGCAACGAUCCGUAGCUGGUCUGAGAGGAUGAUCAGCCACAUCGGGACUGAGACACGGCCCGAACUCCUACGGGAGGCAGCAGUGGGGAAUAUUGGACAAUGGGGGCAACCCUGAUCCAGCCAUGCCGCGUGUGUGAAGAAGGCCCUCGGGUUGUAAAGCACUUUCAGCGAGGAAGAACGCCUAUCGGUUAAUACCCGGUAGGAAAGACAUCACUCGCAGAAGAAGCACCGGCUAACUCCGUGCCAGCAGCCGCGGUAAUACGGAGGGUGCAAGCGUUAAUCGGAAUUACUGGGCGUAAAGCGCGCGUAGGUGGCUUGAUAAGCCGGUUGUGAAAGCCCCGGGCUCAACCUGGGAACGGCAUCCGGAACUGUCAGGCUAGAGUGCAGGAGAGGAAGGUAGAAUUCCCGGUGUAGCGGUGAAAUGCGUAGAGAUCGGGAGGAAUACCAGUGGCGAAGGCGGCCUUCUGGACUGACACUGACACUGAGGUGCGAAAGCGUGGGUAGCAAACAGGAUUAGAUACCCUGGUAGUCCACGCCGUAAACGAUGUCGACCAGCCGUUGGGUGCCUAGAGCACUUUGUGGCGAAGUUAACGCGAUAAGUCGACCGCCUGGGGAGUACGGCCGCAAGGUUAAAACUCAAAUGAAUUGACGGGGGCCCGCACAAGCGGUGGAGCAUGUGGUUUAAUUCGAUGCAACGCGAAGAACCUUACCUACCCUUGACAUCUACAGAAGCCGGAAGAAAUUCUGGUGUGCCUUCGGGAACUGUA